AAAAAAAUAAAUAAAUAAAACUCUCCGAGGACCCUUAACAAAGGCUGUUUGAAGUUGAAAUGUUGGGUUGUGUGUCUUCUGACAGAAGACACACAACCCAACAUUUCAACUUCAAACAGCCUUUGUUAAGGGUCCUCGGAGAGUUUUUUUUUUUUACUUUUUGUUUUUCUCAU